rnacentral:rRNA from 1 species
UGCAAGUCGAACGGCAGCGCGGGGGCAACCGUGGCGGCGAGUGGCGAACGGGUGAGUAAUAUAUCGGAACGUACCCAAGAGUGGGGGAUAACGUAGCGAAAGUUACGCUAAUACCGCAUACGAUCUAAGGAUGAAAGCAGGGGAUCGCAAGACCUUGUGCUCCUGGAGCGGCCGAUAUCUGAUUAGCUAGUUGGUGGGGUAAAGGCCCACCAAGGCAACGAUCAGUAGCUGGUCUGAGAGGACGACCAGCCACACUGGAACUGAGACACGGUCCAGACUCCUACGGGAGGCAGCAGUGGGGAAUUUUGGACAAUGGGGGCAACCCUGAUCCAGCAAUGCCGCGUGAGUGAAGAAGGCCUUCGGGUUGUAAAGCUCUUUUGUCAGGGAAGAAAAGGCUGUGGCUAAUAUCCACAGCUGCUGACGGUACCUGAAGAAUAAGCACCGGCUAACUACGUGCCAGCAGCCGCGGUAAUACGUAGGGUGCAAGCGUUAAUCGGAAUUACUGGGCGUAAAGCGUGCGCAGGCGGUUUCGUAAGUCUGUCGUGAAAUCCCCGGGCUUAACCUGGGAAUGGCGAUGGAGACUGCGAAGCUAGAGUUUGGCAGAGGGGGGUAGAAUUCCACGUGUAGCAGUGAAAUGCGUAGAGAUGUGGAGGAACACCGAUGGCGAAGGCAGCCCCCUGGGUCAAAACUGACGCUCAUGCACGAAAGCGUGGGGAGCAAACAGGAUUAGAUACCCUGGUAGUCCACGCCCUAAACGAUGUCUACUAGUUGUUGGGUCUUAAUUGACUUAGUAACGCAGCUAACGCGUGAAGUAGACCGCCUGGGGAGUACGGUCGCAAGAUUAAAACUCAAAGGAAUUGACGGGGACCCGCACAAGCGGUGGAUGAUGUGGAUUAAUUCGAUGCAACGCGAAAAACCUUACCUACCCUUGACAUGGCAGGNAUCCCGGAGAGAUUUGGGA